rnacentral:piRNA from 1 species
CAAAUAGUUAUAUGUAUGCAAGUCAGAG